GAUCUGACAGCAUAAUGGUUCAUGCGCCUGCUCACUUUAAAGAAGUUAUUCAGGAGUUCCGCAGGAGAGCUCGGUUCGAGUCCGGGUCAGGUCU